UACAGAGGGGGCAAGCGUUAUUCGGAAUUAUUGGGCGUAAAGGGCGCGUAGGCGGCUUGGCAAGUGGAUGGUGAAAUCCCUCGGCUUAACCGAGGAACUGCCGUCCAAACUGCUUCGCUUGAGACCGGGAGAGGUGAGUGGAAUUCCCAGUGUAGCGGUGAAAUGCGUAGAUAUUGGGAGGAAUACCUAUGGCGAAGGCAGGUUACUGGGCCAUCACUGACGCUGAUGCGCGAAAGCUAGGGGAGCAAACAGG
rnacentral:rRNA from 1 species